UACGAAGGGGGCGAGCGUUGUUCGGAUUUACUGGGCGUAAAGGGCGCGCAGGCGGCUUUGUUUGUCAGGCGUGAAAGCCCCGGGCUUAACCUGGGAACUGCGUUUGAUACGGCAGGGCUAGAGUUCGGGAGAGGAGAGUGGAAUUCCCAGUGUAGAGGUGAAAUUCGUAGAUAUUGGGAAGAACACCGAUGGCGAAGGCAGCCCCCUGGGUCAAGAUUGACGCUCAUGCACGAAAGCGUGGGGAGCAAACAGG
rnacentral:rRNA from 1 species